rnacentral:rRNA from 1 species
GACGAACGCUGGCGGCGUGCUUAACACAUGCAAGUCGAACGGUAAGGCCCUUCGGGUACGACGAGUGGCGAACGGGUGAGUAACACGUGGGUGAUCUGCCCUGCACUUCGGGAUAAGCUUGGGAAACUGGGUCUAAUACCGGAUAGGACCACGGUCUGCAUGGAUUGUGGUGGAAAGCUUUUGCGGUGUGGGAUGGGCCCGCGGCCUAUCAGCUUGUUGGUGGGGUGAUGGCCUACCAAGGCGACGACGGGUAGCCGGCCUGAGAGGGUGUCCGGCCACACUGGGACUGAGAUACGGCCCAGACUCCUACGGGAGGCAGCAGUGGGGAAUUUUGGACAAUGGGCGCAAGCCUGAUCCAGCCAUGCCGCGUGAGUGAAGAAGGCCUUCGGUUGUAAAGCUCUUUUGUCUAGGAGCAAACCUACAGACUAAUACUCUGUGGGGAGUGAGAGUACCUGAAGAAUAAGCACCGGCUAACUACGUGCCAGCAGCCGCGGU